GGCAAGUGCAAAGAGUGCCACUAAUGUUGAACAAGCUUUCAUGGCAAUGGCAGCUGAGAUAAAGAAUAGGAUGGCAACCCAGCCAGCAUCAAACAAUGCAAAGCCACCCACCGUGCAGAUACGGGGACAACCUGUGAACCAAAAAAACGGCUGCUGUUCUUCUUAGAUGUCAGAUUCUGCUUGCUAGAAUUGCUUCUAGAGUCACCAUUCCAAUCGCAAUACAUUGCUUUCGAAGCUGUGUCAGUUCCAUUCUUUUCAUCUACAGGUAUCCAAAUGGCCUAUACAAACCACAAGAAUUGCUUUUCAAGUAUAGGACUCUUUCUCCCUCCUUUGAUAUUUUCACUUCGUUGCGUUUCCUUGUCUUAGUUGCAGUGAUUAUUUCUGCAGUUUCAGGCAUAAUAUAUGUUUUAGAAGUUGGUUUUUUAGAUGGGGAUAUAUAGUGGAUAGAACUGUAA
rnacentral:misc_RNA from 1 species